rnacentral:tRNA from 1 species
GGAGAGGUGUCUGAGUGGUCGAAAGAGCACGCCUGGAAAGUGUGUAUAUGCCAAAAGUGUAUCGAGGGUUCGAAUCCCUCCCUCUCCG